AUCAGGUAGCAUAAAAUGAACAUUUCUAAAUGUAAAGAACAAGUAGCCUCCACAGUGCACCCCUGGUAGUCAUCGUUAAUGAUAUUAAUUAAUGAUAACGCAUGAAAGUUACGCAAUGCUUUAUGAAACAUUUCACUACAGAAAGCUUUUGAAAGCGUCCUCGUCAUCUGCACCACAUGAUGCAGCGUGCCGAUCAUCUGCACAACACAGGAAUGUCCAGUACGUGCAGAGAGAGGCAGAGAGAGAGAUUUGUUUCCCCACAGGCUUUUUCUUCCUCUAGUUGUUACAGUCGGGCUCAGGUCAGACAGUCAUCUGCGCAAUACCCCGCGAUCACAAGCCGGUCACAUGCUGCCGCAGCCAGGCACGGGAUGCAGCUUAUCCCGCUGCAGGGACCCGGUGGAGCGCACAGGAAUGACCAUCACAGGAUGAACCUGUCCGCAGGGCUCCGGGACAGACAGACCGACAGACAGACUGACAAACUUAAUGUGGAUUUCAACUUACAGCACAGACACAAGAGGGCAGCAGGGCCCGUUUAUUGCCUGGAACAGAGGAGCGCCACAGGACGACUGCCAGUCACAGCAUGGUUAGUUCAGUAAGAGCCUCCUCCUCAUCAGCUGUAAUGAGGCAGGAGAGGAUGGAGCGGUGCUGAUGAUCUGACCUGCUGCUGGUGUUGUCUUUCGCCUCUGUGCCUUCUUGUUUUCCCAUUUCGGAAAGCGUUUUCGUAUUAAAAGCCGUUCCCACCGUCCUGCAAAGAUGAAAGAUAAGUCUUGCUGAUUUCUGCUGCAGGGGAGAGACGUGAUUUGCACCUUGUAGCCCGAGGAGACAAUUAUUCUCUUACUUAGAAAAUCUGCCUGGAAAUCAGAAUGUUGCUUUUCAGUCUAAUUCUUGUGGUGGAGAAUUAGGUGGAGCUGAUUUGUGCUCUGUCUUUGAACAGGUGAACAGCUGGCUGUGUGUGUGUCAGAUGGUACGACCUCCUGACCUUUGACCCAUCAAGGCCCAUCAAGACUCAUCCCCAUCCAAACAGGAAGUGAGACAGAUGGAUGAAUCUGUGUUAUUACACUGAUUGAUCUGUAUAUUUAGUCAUUUAAUCAUUCUUUAAGCAUACAUAACUGGUCUUUUUUUAACGUGAAUGUUUUUGUGGAAAGCAACCCUUUUCAUUGACUCAAGUACUACAGUUUUGAGGUAUUUAUACUUCACUUGAGUAUUUCCGUUGCCUGCCAUUUUUAAACUUCAACAUUUUGGAAGCCAAUUAUAUGCUCUUUACUACUCUACUGCAUUUAUUUGAUAGCUUGAUUUACUAUGCAGAUUGAGAUUAUUUUUACUAAACAGAAAUGAACAGACACAACAUGAUGUAUUGAUAAUGAUUUAUCUACCCAGCAGUAUACAAAGUAGUUUAAAACAGCUCCUCCACCUACCAGCAGUGUUAUAUAAAGUAUUCAAAAAUCAUACUUGGGUAAAAAUAGAGAUAAUGUUUUAAAAUUUUGCUUUGGUAGAAAUGAAAGUAACCCCUGCAAAUAUUCCCUGAGUAAAAGUAUCCUAUAUUAUAUUCAUAUAUUUACAUGUAUGUAAAUAUUUUACCCUGUGGAUUGACUGAUUAUCAGUGUUCUUAGUCACACUCCAUAGCUGCCUACCAGCUUUAGACACUAGAAAGAUUAAUACAUUAUUGCAUUGCUGAUUAUGAUUUUUAUAUAUUAUAACUUUGUAUUUUAGGGGUUUCAGCUGUCGAUUAUGCACACCAAGACACUCUGAACGCCACUGUUGGCUCCGGUAACUGGGAUGGGCAUUUUUUUUGCUGAUAUUCACUAGACCAAGUGAUUGCUUAAAUAAAACAUUCAAAUAUAUUAAAUAAGAAAAAUAAUCUGAUUAAUCAGAAAUGAAAAACGAUCAUUAGUCGAAACCCUAAGUUGAAGAUAUUCUAAGAGGGGCUUCUACUUCAAAGUUAGCUAUUUCUGCAUGACAGCAUUCAUAUUCUGCUGCAUCAUCCCCAGUUUGUGUGCUGUCCCUGUUAUCAGGGCGUCUUGGUACUCAGACACAGUGUGACAGCUUGUCAACCUGUGCUGACAGUUAACAUCGAUACUGAGGCUGCUUUUACUUUGUAUGCAUCCAGACUCUGGAACAUCCUACUGGAGGAUCUGAGGACACGCUCUCUUUUUUUAAAGUAUGUUGAAUUUGCAUUUUUCUGCUUUAAAAUGUGAUGGAUUGACUCAGUGUUGUGUUAUAGUUUAAACCCACAUCUGUUCCAGUGGGAUUCUGUUUUAAAGGACAUUUGUUGAAUUUUUUUUUUCCACAGUUAUUUUAUUAAAGGUUAAGGUAUAGGUCUGCCAAUGAAGCAAGACUUUUUGAAUACAGUGUGUUUCCAGUAGUUUCUACAUCUUUGCUGAGUGGAGUUACACAAUGUGAAAUACUUGACUCUUGUGUCAAAAUAUAACAUUAAAAUACUAUUUUGAAAGAAGA